rnacentral:rRNA from 1 species
AUUGAACGCUGGCGGCAGGCUUAACACAUGCAAGUCGAGCGCGCGGCGGACGGGUGAGUACUGUCUGGGAAACUGCCUGAUGGAGGGGGAUAACUACUGGAAACGGUAGCUAAUACCGCAUACCAUCAGAUGUGCCCAGAUGGGAUGAGCUAGUAGGUGGGGUAAUGGCUCACCUAGGCGACGAUCCCUAGCUGGUCUGAGAGGAUGACCAGCCAGACUGGAACUGAUACACGGUCCAGACUCCUACAGUAGGCAGCGGUGGGGAAUGUUGCACAAUGGGCGCAAGCCUGAUGCAGCCAUGCCGCGUGUGUUAAGAAGGCCGUCAGGUUGUAAAGCACUUUCAGCGAGGAGGCGUUACUAGCAGAAGAAGCACCGGCUAACUCCGUGCCAGCAGCGGCGGUAAUAC